rnacentral:rRNA from 1 species
GUGGGGAAUAUUGGACAAUGGGCGAAAGCCUGAUCCAGCCAUGUCGCGUGUGUGAAGAAGGUCUUCGGAUUGUAAAGCACUUUAAGUUGGGAGGAAGGGUAGUAACCUAAUACGUUGCUACUUUGACGUUACCGACAGAAUAAGCACCGGCUAACUUCGUGCCAGCAGCCGCGGUAAUACGAAGGGUGCAAGCGUUAAUCGGAAUUACUGGGCGUAAAGCGCGCGUAGGUGGUUCAGUAAGUUGGAAGUGAAAUCCCCGGGCUCAACCUGGGAACUGCUUUCGAAACUGCUGAGCUAGAGUACGGUAGAGGGUAGUGGAAUUUCCUGUGUAGCGGUGAAAUGCGUAGAUAUAGGAAGGAACACCAGUGGCGAAGGCGACUACCUGGACUGAUACUGACACUGAGGUGCGAAAGCGUGGGGAGCAAACAGGAUUAGAAACCCUAGUAGUCC